CCUACGGGUGGCAGCAGUGAGGAAUAUUGGUCAAUGGGCGAGAGCCUGAACCAGCCAAGUCGCGUGAGGGAGUACUGCCCUAUGGGUUGUAAACCUCUUUUGUCGGGGAGCAAAAGCCGGACGUGUCCGGCUGUGAGAGUACCCGAAGAAAAAGCAUCGGCGAACGCCGUGCCAGCAGCCGCGGGAAGCCGGAGGGUGCGAGCGUUAAUCGGAAUUACUGGGCGUAAAGCGCUCGUAGGCGGUAUGUCAAGUCAAGGGUGAAAUCCCCGGGCUCAACGUGGGAACCGCCUGUGAAACUGGCAAACGGGAGUGUGUGAGAGGAGAGCGGAAUUCCAGGUGUAGGAGUGAAAUCCGUAGAUAUCUGGAGGAACAUCAGUGGCGAAGGCGACUAUCUGGCACAUAACUGACGCUGAGGAGCGAAAGCGUGGGUAGCAAACAGGAUUAGAUACCCCAGUAGUC
rnacentral:rRNA from 1 species